AUGAGUUGGGGGUACGUAGAUGUGGAGGUCAGAAGACAAUUUUUAGGAGUCAGCUCUCAACUUUAUGCCCUGUUGAUACAGGAUCUCUUGUUUCUGCUGCUGCUUUGAAUGUGGGGUUCAAGUUAUCAAGUGCAGCCAAGGACUUUUACCCACUGAACCAGUUUCCUAGUUUGCUUUUAUUUUUUUAUAAAAAGAUUUGAGUGUUCUGAGUAAUUUUCCUGUAUGUAUGUGUGUGUACUAAGUGCAUGCCUAGUGUCUGGAGGUCAAAAAAGGGCAUCAGAUUUUCUGGAACUUCAGUUAUGGAUGGUUGGGAGCUACCACAUGGAUACUGGGAACCCAAACCAGGUCUGCUGCAAGAAUAUGUGCUCUUAAUCUGAGCCAUCUCUCUAGUCCCUUUCCCUUCCCCUUUUGCUUUUAAAUUAGAGUGAUUGUAAAGACUUUAUUGAGUAUCAGAUAAGUCCAGUAAGAGACAUGUGUGAUCAGCAAGCUUUUAUUAAGCCAAUAUGUGUUGUUUAUGCUCUAUAAAGCAUAGGACCCUUCUGUGAUUUCUGCAACUUUUCCCAGCCACACAGACCUUGCUGCCCUGUCACAGUGGGCAAGCUGCACCCUUCCCCCACCCCAUGUCCUUUCCCUCAGGUCUAGACUCAACUUUAUCCAGAUGUUUCUAGGUCUUACUUCUGAAAUCCUUCAGUUCUCUGAGAUUCCCUGGCCACUCUACAUAAAUUAGCUAACUCGGGUGCAAUGUGCUCCGCUUGUUGCCAGCACUUAGGAUACUAUAGCCAGCGGGUAUGAGUUUGAGGCUAGCCUGUGCUACAGAGUCAGGUCCAGGUAAAUCUAAAACUCACCCCUCUGGUGCUUUUUGCUCCUCUUCACUGUUUCCCUUCUCUCCACAGCAUUUGUCAUCCUUUCAUUUCUUAUCUGAGAUCCCACUGAUAGUCUAUGACCACAGAGUACAGGUGAGUCUUAGGCAUGAACUAUAUUUUAGCACAUAAAAUAGUUCCUUGAACAUGAUGGAUGCAGUAAGUUGUGGUUGAAAGAAUAAAGAAAUGUGCAAAUCGUAUGUGUUUUGGUCAACACCUACAAUACUAAACAAAUGUGAGAAAAUUGGUCCAACGGAAAUGUCCCUCCCUCUUCUGGGAAGAAGAAAGGAUCAGGCCAACCUUGUGGGUUGGGCUUUGAGCCCUUGUGACUUUGCCUUGUAGGUUCAGCCCUUGUGACUUUGCCUUGUAGGUGUACAAUGGUAUUGUGUUUUACUUUAAUGUGCCUCAUGAGCUCAUAGAUUGCAAAGUGAUUGUGGCAGGUGGGAAUUGUUUUGUAUAGACAUGUAUUUGCAUCCUUGGGCCCUCAUAACCAUAAUAGGUUCCUGAACUAAGUCUUUGGUUGGCCCUUUGCUGCCUAUAGCACGGUUAAAGGCAGGUAGCCUCCAUAGGGUGGUGGCUCUAUGAUGGUGUUGGGAUUUGCUGCCCCUCUGAUGAGAAUAAGAAGUACUUCUUUUUUUUUUUCUUCUUUGUCUUUUGAAACAGAAUUUCAUGUAGCUCAGACUUGCUUUGAACUUGUUAUGUAGAAGAAACUGGCCUUGAACUCCUGAUCAUCCUCACUUUGCCUCAAAGUGCUGGCAUUAGAGGCAUGUACCACCACACCCAGCUGACAUAAUACUUUUGGAAACAACUCUUUAAGAUUGCUUCUAGGUUCUCAUUAAAAUUUAACACUUAGGGUCAGGGCAGUGCUGUGCUUCAGUGGGUAAAGGACCUGUUGCCUAGUCUCAAGCCUAAAUUUAAUUCCUGGGACUUCUCUACAUGGUAGAAAGAGAGAGAACCAAUUCUGUGGUUCUGUCUCAAACCUCCACACAUGUGCCAUGACAUAUGCACACACAAAU
rnacentral:lncRNA from 1 species